rnacentral:lncRNA from 1 species
GUUCGUGCUUCUUUAAGAGGAACAGAGAUCCUUUGGUGAAAAAGACAAAGGAAGGAAGGAGUGUCUUUUUCUUUCACACUAAAGAGUGGUCAUGAAGAAGAGGAAACGACCUGACUCCUCCUCUUUGACUUCUGAUGAGUCCUUCCAGCAGCCAAUCAGUGAGCCGUCCGUCAGUUCACAGAUGAGUGCAGCAAAGUCCACACAUCCCAGCUGUGUCUCUCUGAAGAGCGAUGGAUCCAUGUACAUGCCACUCAAUUUUGGUCUUAAAGAGAUACAAAGGUAAUUUUAUUGUAUUCUGUAAAUGAAAAAAUGUACAU